GACGAACGCUGGCGGCGUGCUUAACACAUGCAAGUCGAACGGAAAGGCCCUGCUUUUGUGGGGUGCUCGAGUGGCGAACGGGUGAGUAACACGUGAGUAACCUGUCCUUGUCUUUGGGAUAACUUCAGGAAACUGGGGCUAAUACCGGAUAGGAGCUCCUGCUGCAUGGUGGGGGUUGGAAAGUUUCGGCGGUUGGGGAUGGACUCGCGGCUUAUCAGCUUGUUGGUGGGGUAGUGGCUUACCAAGGCUUUGACGGGUAGCCGGCCUGAGAGGGUGACCGGCCACAUUGGGACUGAGAUACGGCCCAGACUCCUACGGGAGGCAGCAGUGGGGAAUAUUGCACAAUGGGCGGAAGCCUGAUGCAGCAACGCCGCGUGCGGGAUGACGGCCUUCGGGUUGUAAACCGCUUUCGCCUGUGACGAAGCGUGAGUGACGGUAAUGGGUAAAGAAGCACCGGCUAACUACGUG
rnacentral:rRNA from 1 species